rnacentral:lncRNA from 1 species
AGUGAAGGCGGCGAGAGGCCAGAGGCCCAGCCUCCUGCCCUGUUCGCCCGCCGGCCGCCGCGGCUGUCAGAGAGGCUGCUGCCGACUCCGCCAUAAAGGGGAGUCGCACCUCGCCUCCGCCGACACAAAUCGACUGCGCCUGGAGCUUAAAGGGGAGGCGCGCGGAGGCGGGAGGGGGCGCCGCGGCAGCGGGGGUGUCGCACGCUCGGCGCGGAUUGGGGCGUGCUUCUCGCUGGCUGAUGCGGCGACCCCCGGACCGCGCUGGCCUCGCAGUCUGCUCCGGCUUCCGGCUCCCCGCGCUGCGCCCAGCUGCGCGUCCCGCCACCCGCCCCGGCAGCACCGACGCUCCCCAUGGACUCUUCUCCUGGAGUCAGGACGUGUCUGGACGGGUUGUUUGGAAAUUCAAGGGAAGCUUGGGGCUCCUUCCCUGGGGACUGGCUCGUCCUCCCUCGCCCUUGGUGGCGGUCGGGGGAAGGGGGUGUCUGCCGCAGCUGGAGACGCAGACCGGGGCAUCCCCCCAGGACUGGGCUCAGCUUCGAACGCGGACAGGGCGCCCCACUGCUGAACUCGGUGCCCCCCUUACCACGCUCCAGUUCGCCUCUAACGGCCUACAACUUUUUUUAAAAAUGUACUUUUAAAAAAUUCCGACUUUUUUGGUUUAUAUUGUUUUUAAGACAGCUUCAGAGUUUUCCUGGCCCCGUCCAGGAACACUGAUUUCAAAAGAAAACAAAAACAAAAACACCGAAUUAAAUACAGUCCUGAAGGCAGGGAGCCUGGGACGUGGCCUGCUGCUUGGUUAAGGCUACAUAACACAGGGUGUGGUGUCUUUCUUUUGACAAUGAGUUCCAAAUAAGGGAAAAAAGAGCCACCCUAGUGGGAGAACAGCUGUUGAUCCAAGUGACUUGUAAUGGAAGAAGCAGCUUUUUUUUUUUUUUUUUUUUUUUUGGCUGCUUUUUACCCCACCUACCACGUUUAAGCGUGAUGCUAACAAAGUUUAGGUGGCCCGUUAGAGCUCAUUCCGGCCUGUUGCUCUGAGAAGGGGUUUCCCCAGAAGCAAACCAUUACUCAUUCUCACUUGGUUUUUGCAUAAGCCUUGUUCAGGUGCCUUGUUCUGAAGAGAUACCUUCAUGUCUGCCCCUUCCCUCAACCCACACACAGACACAGGUUUUAAACCUAGGUGAUUUUUGUUGUGGUGGUUGUUCUUUCUGUUUUUGAGAGGGGUCUUACCAUGUUGCCUAGGCUGGACUCAAACUCCUGGGCUGAAGCCAUCCUCCCAUGUAGCUGGAACUACAGCUACUUGGUCUUAUUUUAUUGCUUGCAGAUAAACCAAUUUUUCAUUGAUUUUGUUUGGGUCAAGAGACAGUAAUUUCUGAGUAAGAUAAGGAUGAAUCCUAGUGGUUUCAUUCAUUCAUUUAAUAAAGAUUUAUGAGUACCCAGGCACCAUUCAAGUUGUUUCGGUUACAUAAACAAAACAGACAAAAAUCCUUGCGCUUGUGGAUGUGAGAGAGAGGGGCAAUAAAUAAUAAAUGUAAUCAAUAAAAUCAAAUUGGAUAAGAAUGCUAAUAAAGGUUAUGGGGAAAACACCAAGGGAGAUGGGGAAGACUACAAAUAGAGGAAGUUUGAGGCAAAAGAGGAGUUCAGUUUUGGAGAAGUUCCAUUUUAAGGUAUCUAUUAGAAAUUGAAGUGGAGAUCUUGAUUAGGCAGUUGUAUGUAUGAAUGAGUCUAGGAUUAAGGAGCGUGGUCCAAGCUAGAGGUAUAUGAGAGAUAUCAGCAUUUAGAUGGCGUUUAAAGCCAUGAGACUGCCUAAGAUCACCAAGGAAGUGAGUGUAAAUAAAAGACGACUGAGGAUGGAGCUCUGGGGACCAAUGCAGCUUUAAGACAGGGUAGUGGGUGAGCCAGCCAAGGAGACUGAAAGGGAGCAGCCAGUGAAGUGGGAGACCCGAGUGAGGUGCCCUGAAGCCGAGUGAAGCUUGUGGAUCUAGGAAGAGGGAGUGCUCCUCUGCGAGUGAGCACUGAGAAUUGACUGUUGGAUUUAGUGACAUGGAGGCCAUUGAUAACCCUUCAGUGGAGC